rnacentral:rRNA from 1 species
AUGGUGGGGACGGGGGCGUUGGGCUCCGUCAUCGUCAAGCUCGCCACCUUGCUCGGCGACGGGUACACGAUGCUCAAGAGCGUUCGCAAGGACGUCGCGUUCCUCGAGCGCGAGCUCCGCACGAUGCAGAUCCUGGUGAGCAUGCUGGCGGGCAUGGAGGGGCUCGACAAGCUGGCCAUGGGCUGCAUGGGUAGCAUGCGGGAUCUUGGCCACGACAUGGAGGAGUGCAUCGACCGCUUCAUGCUCCGCCUCGACGAAAAUGACAUGGAGAUGGAGGCGGCGCCCACGUUCCCGAGGAGCACCGCGCGCCGGCUCAAGACAAUGUUUGCCCGCCAUGGCGUCGGGGCCCAGAUCAAGAAGCUCAAGGCCCGCGUCGUUGAGGAAGGUGACCGGCGGCGUAGGCUGAAUCUGGACAACUAUGUCCAGAUGAUGAUAGAUCCUCGGCUGGCUGCGUUACACGGAGUGGCCAAGGACUUGGUGGCCAUUGACGGCCCCAGGAACGAGGUCAUCUCUUUGUUGACGGAGGAGAGCGUGGACCUGAAGGUGGUGGCCAUUGUUGGAGGUGCUGGGUUGGGAAAGACCACCCUUGCCAUGGAGGCCUAUCGCAAGAUUGGACGGCACUUCCAGUGCCGAGCUUCUGUGUCCGUGUCACGCACCCUUGACCGUGACAAGCUCUUGAAAGAACUCCUUUCUCAAAUCGACCAGGCUGCAUUUCAUGAUUGUCAGUCGGAGAGGUGGGAUAAAGAUCAACUAAUCCGUCAGAUCCGACACAUUUUGACAGGAAAGAGGUACUUCCUUGUGAUUGAUGAUGUAUGGAAAGAACAAGACUGGAAAUUUGUCAAAGGAGUUUUUCCUGACAGUCACAAUGGUAGCAGAAUAAUUGUUACUACACGCAUAUCCAAUGUAGCGAAGUCAACUUGUUCUAACUCCGGCGGUCAGCUCUAUCAAAUGCUACCUCUGAACUACAUUGAUUCCCGAAGAUUGUUCUUUAGGAGAAUUUUCCACUCUGAUAACUCCUGCCCUCCUCAACUAGAGAAGAUUUCAGCUAGGAUCUUAAGGAAAUGUGGUGGUCUGCCAUUGGCUAUAAUUACCAUUGCCAAAUUGCUAUCCAAUAAACAUCAAACCCCAGAUGAAUGGGAGAGACUCCAAGGUUCCAUUGGUACUGGUCUUUCAUAUAAGAGUGAUAACCAUGGAAAUGGUAUGGGACAUAUAUCGUUACUUGGUUAUUGGGAUCUUCCGCACCACUUGAAGACCAGUUUGUUAUAUCUAUGUAUAUAUCCAGAGGGCGGAUAUAUCUCGUGUGAAGAAGUGAAAUGGAAAUGGAUACUUGAAGGAUUCAUUGCCAAAAAACAGGGAAAUUUGUAUCAAGAAGCAGAGAGUUAUUUCAAUGAACUUGUCAACAGAAGCAUGAUCCAGCUAGUCGAUGUUGACGAUGACAACUUUGAACGAUAUUGUCAGGUUCAUGAGAUGGUGCAUGACCUUCUGAUAUCCUUGUCAGAUUAG